GACGAACGCUGGCGGCGUGCUUAACACAUGCAAGUCGAACGGAAAGGCCCUGCUUUUGUGGGGUGCUCGAGUGGCGAACGGGUGAGUAACACGUGAGUAACCUGCCCUUGACUUUUGGAUAACUUCAGGAAACUGUGGCUCAUACCGGAUAGUAGCUCCUGCUGCAUGGUGGGGGUUGGAAAUUUUGGGCGGGUGGGGAUGGACUCGCGGCUUAUCAGCUUGUUGGUUGGGUAGUGGCUUACCAAGGCUUUGACGGGUAGCCGGCCUGAGAGGGUGACCGGCCACAUAGGGACGGAGAGACGGACGAGACUGAUACGGGAGGCAGCAGGGAGGAAGGAUGAACACUGGGCGGACGCAUGAUGCAGGAAGGCAGGGUGCGGGAUGAAGGCCUGCGGGUUGGAUACAGCUUUCGCCUGUGACGAAGCGUGAGUGACGGUAAUGGGUAAAGAAGCACCGGCUAACUACGUG
rnacentral:rRNA from 1 species